CAAGUCGAGCGGACAGAUGGGAGCUUGCUCCCUGAUGUUAGCGGCGGACGGGUGAGUAACACGUGGGUAACCUGCCUGUAAGACUGGGAUAACUCCGGGAAACCGGGGCUAAUACCGGAUGGUUGUUUGAACCGCAUGGUUCAAACAUAAAAGGUGGCUUCGGCUACCACUUACAGAUGGACCCGCGGCGCAUUAGCUAGUUGGUGAGGUAACGGCUCACCAAGGCAACGAUGCGUAGCCGACCUGAGAGGGUGAUCGGCCACACUGGGACUGAGACACGGCCCAGACUCCUACGGGAGGCAGCAGUAGGGAAUCUUCCGCAAUGGACGAAAGUCUGACGGAGCAACGCCGCGUGAGUGAUGAAGGUUUUCGGAUCGUAAAGCUCUGUUGUUAGGGAAGAACAAGUACCGUUCGAAUAGGGCGGUACCUUGACGGUACCUAACCAGAAAGCCACGGCUAACUACGUGCCAGCAGCCGCGGUAAUACGUAGGUGGCAAGCGUUGUCCGGAAUUAUUGGGCGUAAAGGGCUCGCAGGCGGUUUCUUAAGUCUGAUGUGAAAGCCCCCGGCUCAACCGGGGAGGGUCAUUGGAAACUGGGGAACUUGAGUGCAGAAGAGGAGAGUGGAAUUCCACGUGUAGCGGUGAAAUGCGUAGAGAUGUGGAGGAACACCAGUGGCGAAGGCGACUCUCUGGUCUGUAACUGACGCUGAGGAGCGAAAGCGUGGGGAGCGAACAGGAUUAGAUACCCUGGUAGUCCACGCCGUAAACGAUGAGUGCUAAGUGUUAGGGGGUUUCCGCCCCUUAGUGCUGCAGCUAACGCAUUAAGCACUCCGCCUGGGGAGUACGGUCGCAAGACUGAAACUCAAAGGAAUUGACGGGGGCCCGCACAAGCGGUGGAGCAUGUGGGUUAAUUCGAAGCAACGCGAAGAACCUUACCAGUCUUGACAUCCUCUGACAAUCCUAGAAGAUAGGACGUCCCCUUCGGGGGCAGAGUGACAGAUGCUGCAUGGAUGUCGUCAGCUCGUGUCGUGAAAUGUUGGAUAAGUCCCGCAACGAGCGCACCAUGAUCUAGCUGCAGCAGUCAGUUGGCACUCUAAGUGGACUGCCGGUGACAAGCGGAGCG
rnacentral:rRNA from 2 species